AUUGAACGCUGGCGGCAGGCCUAACACAUGCAAGUCGAGCGAGCGGAGGAAGGGUGAGUAAUGGAGGGGGAUCUGCGCGAGAGAGGGGGAUAACUACUGGAAAAGGUGGCUAAUACCGCAUACUCUCGGAUGGACCCAUAUGUGAUUAGCUAGUAGGUGUGGUAAAGGCUCACACCGGCGACGAUCUCUAGGUGGUCUGAGAGGAUGAUCACCCACACUGGGACUGAGACACGGCCCAGACUCCUACGGGAGGCAGCAGUGGGGAAUAUUGCACAAUGGGCGCAAGCCUGAUACAGCCAUGCCGCGUGUAUGAAGAAGGCCUUAGGGUUGUAAAGUACUUUCAGCGGGGAGGCGUUACCCGCAGAAGAAGCACCGGCUAACUCCGUGCCAGCAGCCGCGGUAAUUC
rnacentral:rRNA from 1 species